UCCGUAGGUGAACCUGCGGAGGGAUCAUUACAAGUGACCCCGGUCUAACCACCGGGAUGUUCAUAACCCUUUGUUGUCCGACUCUGUUGCCUCCGGGGCGACCCUGCCUUCGGGCGGGGGCUCCGGGUGGACACUUCAAACUCUUGCGUAACUUUGCAGUCUGAGUAAAUUUAAUUAAUAAAUUAAAACUUUUAACAACGGAUCUCUUGGUUCUGGCAUCGAUGAAGAACGCAGCGAAAUGCGAUAAGUAAUGUGAAUUGCAGAAUUCAGUGAAUCAUCGAAUCUUUGAACGCACAUUGCGCCCCCUGGUAUUCCGGGGGGCAUGCCUGUUCGAGCGUCAUUUCACCACUCAAGCCUCGCUUGGUAUUGGGCAACGCGGUCCGCCGCGUGCCUCAAAUCGACCGGCUGGGUCUUCUGUCCCCUAAGCGUUGUGGAAACUAUUCGCUAAAGGGUGCUCGGGAGGCUACGCCGUAAAACAAACCCAUUUCUAAGGUUGACCUCGGAUCAGGUAGGGAUACCCGCUGAACUUAAGCAUAUCAAUAAGCGGAGGAAAAGAAACCAACAGGGAUUGCCCUAGUAACG
rnacentral:rRNA from 1 species